GAUGAACGCUAGCGGCAGGCUUAACACAUGCAAGUCGAGGGGCAGCAUAAACAUUGCUUGCAAUGUUUGAUGGCUACCGGCGAACGCGUGCGUAACGCGGAUGUAAUCUACCUCAAACACGGGCAUAACACUGAGAAAUUGGUACUAAUUCCCCAUAACACUUUAGGAGGCAUCUUCUGAAGUUGAAAGUUCCGGCGGUUUGAAAUCGCCAUGCGUUGUAUUAGCUGAGUGGUGGGGUAACGGCGCACCAAGGCGACGAUACAUAGGGGGACGCAAAGGUUAACCCCCCGCAUUAGUAAUGAGACACGGACAAAACACCUACGAGAGGCAGCAGUGAGGAAUAUUAGUCAAUGGACGCAAGUCUGAACCAGCGAUGCCGCGUGCAGGAUGACGGCUCUAUGAGUUGUAAACUACUUUUGUAUGAGGGUAAUAUCAGGUACGUGUACCUGCUUGAAAGUAUCAUACGAAUAAGGAUCGGCUAACUCCGUGCCAGCCGCCGCGGUAAAAC
rnacentral:rRNA from 1 species